UACGGGGGGAGCAAGCGUUGUUCGGAUUUACUGGGCGUAAAGGGCGCGUAGGCGGCCACCGCAAGUCAAUUGUGAAAUCUCCGGGCUUAACUCGGAAAGGUCAACUGAUACUGCGGGGCUAGAGUGCGGAAGGGGCAACUGGAAUUCUCGGUGUAGCGGUGAAAUGCGUAGAUAUCGAGAGGAACACCUGCGGCGAAGGCGGGUUGCUGGGCCGACACUGACGCUGAUGCGCGAAAGCCAGGGGAGCGAACGGGG
rnacentral:rRNA from 1 species